UUCUUCUCUUUCCUUCUUCCUCUUUUAUUCUUCUUCGUUAUCCCUCUGGCGAUUCUAAGAGACAUUUCUGAAGCCGUGAAAUCAAAAAGAAAGUUAGGGGAAUCAAUUAUUUAGUUUGAUAGAUGAAGAAGGGGUGAUUUUUCUGUGAAUCUUUGAAGAAGAAGAUGGUUUUGAUAAUGAAUCGAAAACAGUUAGUCUAUAUUAACAACGAACGAUUCAAAGGAUGAACCAGUGAUUGUGGAUUUCAAGGUAGGCGUGGCUUGACAUCAAAUAGGUGGGAACUCUGUAACCUUCUUGUAAUCAUUAAGUUCCUUUUCAUAUGCGGACAUGAUGUGCCAUUACUUCUUAUGAGCAUAAUUGAGUGUAAAUGAUUGGGUAUGUUGUGUAAUAUGCAUUGUGUGGAUUC